UUUCUGUUAUUUGCAAAUUAAAAUGGCAAAUACUUUGGAUAAAGGUUGGCAAUAGUAGUUGUGCAAUUUCCCAUUCCUCUCAAAUUUUUUCUCUUUGAAGAUGGCCUCGAACAAAUUGGUACAUU